AAUAAACAUAAUGGACAAGUUUCCUUCCCCUGCACUCUCGAUCCCACGUGUAAAUAGCACGUACGGAAUUUCAAAUAAGACAUUGAUACAUUACAACACUUGCCGUCAGUAUUUGAAUAUAUUGAUUAAGAAGGUUGGCAGCAAGAUGAAAAGGACAAGUAUGCAGUUCAAAAUUCAAAAUGCGGAUGAGCUGAGGUUCAAUGUCUUACCUUUGCAGAUUUUCAUAUUUUGCAUGAAUGAAUUCAAAGGUUAUAUGAUGGACGGCAGAGAAAGAAAAAAACAACUUUUUAAUUAUCCUGCUCCUGGAUAAAUGUAAAACAUCUUGUUUUUAGAAGGAUUGAAAUUCACCACCUAGAAUAAAUGGAGAAAACAUAGAAACAAGACCAGAAUAAAUUCAAAGACAAAAGUUGGAUCGGUUAUUAUUUUCAUCACUCAGUCAAUGAUUUGAAGUUCUUUUAAAUACAAAAAAAUAUUGAAACCACAAUAAUGUCAAAGUUCUGUGCUGAAUGGUCAAAAAGUGGACUAUACCAUCAAACAAAGCUGGAUGAUAUGAAACUAUUAAUGUUUUGUGUUGAGGGAUAUUGUGAAAAAAAAAGAUUUACUUAAAUAGCUACUAGUAUGUUAAGCCUAACAAUAGAGGUUUUAUUGAUUUCAAAUGGUAAAUAAUUGUGUUUCAAGAAUUAGUAUUCUGUAAUUCAUGAAUAAACAUAUAUUGAUACUUACAUUAUCUGCUUUGUUGUUUAAAAGUUAAGCUUUGAACAGUUAUAGAACAAUAUGCUAAAUUAACAUUUCCCAAGAAAAAAAGAUAUUCAAUUAAAAAGAUUCAUAUUAUAAUAAUUUACUACCAAAUAGAAUACAUUGUAAC